GUCUCCGAGGGACCACCCUGCUUCACUCUAGGAUGAGAACCGUGAAACCGCGCUGGUGAAAUGAGCUGGGAUGCAGAACUUGCAAAAAACUGCUAGAGCAUGGAGCAAGACAUGCAUUUAAAAACAAUCCAUAUCUGAAAGUCAAAGGAAAAAGCUAUCCAUAUUUUAAUAACAUUGGAGAAAACCUCUAUCAGGCACAUUUUCUGUGGUGGAAGCUAUUAAAGAAUGGAUGCUGAAGGAAGUAAUUUUGAUUAUGACAACAACACAUGCUUGAAGUAUAAAACAUGUGACAAUUUCAUCCAGCUGCUGCCAUCCAGGAAACGGUACCGCAGCAUAAAAGCCAGGACCUACAGGCUUCGGGACAUCUUCCAUCAGGCCAUCAGACUGAUUAACUCACGUUGAUCAAUGACCAACACAGUCCAAGCAUGUGCUGGUGGAAGCCACACUUCCAGCAAC